GACUCGCGGGUGUGAACAAACCAUUCCUUGCGCGCCGCGCGUCUAGCGGCUGGCGUGGGCGUCUGCAGCACCCAUUGGACACAAACCCCGAAACCCUAGACUCCAAUCCUCGUUCGCCGCAUCCCUCGCUACCUCGUCCGCCGCCGCACCCUCUUUCCCCUCCUCUCUCUUCAGCGUCCUUCCUCUUUUUCCUUCCGGGUCUCUCUUGCCCGCUCCUUGUUGUUGCUGUGCCGGGGAACCACCACGGCCGCACCGCCGGAUGAAGCCACCAUCCGCGGCGCUGUUCCGUUGCCUUGGAUCCGUGCAGGGGGCCUCCCCGGGGUAGCAGAGGAGGGAGUUGGACGAGGAGGCGCGAGGCGAGCAGGAAGUUGGGGUCGCCGGAGGAGCACAGCCGCACGGGGGCUGGUCUUCGCCAGGGCAGAGUGAAGGAGGUAGAUGUAGGGGGACGCAACUCGGCUCCCAAGCAGAGGAUGCAGCAUCGCCGGCUCCUCUCCCCAUGUCGCCGCUGUCCUACGUCUUCGCUGCCGCCACGGCCUUGCUCGCCACUGACCUCCCGAGUGCUUCUCUCCCCUGCAUUCCCCUUUCCACGAAUUCUUGCCUUCAACGCUAAGUUUAUUCUUCCUGCUGCUAAGUCUUAGUCCUCACGGCGGGGUGGAGGAGCAGGGACGGUCUGUAGGCUGGCGGCAGGGGGGUGGAGCAACGAUGUCGAAGCUUUAGGCGGCGCAUGCAUGGCAGGGUGGAGGAGAGGUCUGUGUGAGGCUGCAAGAGGGGCUUGAUUGUGGGAUUUUAUCUCCCCAUGUCAAGCACGCCGGUGAAGACGGAAGGAAGCCAUGGGAGGCGGGAGCUCCUCUCUGCCUUGGAGCAGAAUCCUGGCGGAUGGGUUUUGGUUCAGACAGAAGAGCUCCAGGCUUUGGAACUUUUUGGGAUAACUAAGUUGGUCGAUGUCACUCGAGAAAAUGGAAAAGGAGAAGAAAAUCGUCAUUAAAUUUAUGAUUGGGCGUAGGUCCAUGGACAUUGUCAGAACUUUAUUCCAGUAUAUUGUUUCCAGAUCUCAUGUUUAUUCAAGUCACCAAGGUUGGAGACACUGGCGUGAAGAUGUCGUGAGUUAUCUGUAAGGGCAUUGUGGUGGCGUGCUCCUCCAUUUCUCCUGCGAGUUCUUGGUGUGGCAGUCAUGGCCCCAUAAGCAGCGCUUCAAGGUGGCUGCAGGUAAAGUUGUCAAGUCGAUCUGGUGCUUGCUCGAGCCGUUGAUUACUGCUGCUUUGCUAAGGUUCAAGGUCUUACUUCAGUAGAAAUUUAUUCCAAUGCUUGCUCAAUCCUUUUUCCAUGAUGACUACCAGAGGAACCUUCGAUGUGUACAGAUGGUAAUGGAUAUGGGGACUGACAAGAACUAGCGAACUUGAUAUCAGAUGCCCUGAACUAUCAAUUCUUUAAUUAUUGGAGGCUUUUGUAUUGAUAUAUCAAUACAAGGUGGGAUAAGAUGCAGGUGAAUGCCUUUAUUUUGUUUCUUUACGAUCUUCUCCUCUAUUUGAUGAUAGAUGCAAAAAAAUAUCGUGUGGCACUGGCUUUCUAAUUACAUACUCCCCCCGUAAAGAAAUAUAAGAGCAUUUGGAUUCAAACGCUCUUAUAUUUCUUUACAGAGGAGUACAAACUAAAUGUGGAGAAGUACUCCCUCUGUCUCAAAAUUCUUGUCUUAGAUUUGUCUAGAUACGGAUGUAUCUAACACUAAAACGUAACUAGAUACAUCCGUAUUUAGACAAAUAUAAGACAAGAAUUUUGGGACGGAGGGAGUAUAUAUGUUUAUUAUCUGGUAAGUGAACUGAAUCACCUUGGUAUAGAAAUCCUAUCCGCUUUUGUCGGAGGCACUGUAAUAAUCUGAAGGAAGCCUUUUUUAUUUCCAAGUUGAUCAACUACACAACUUCUGAUCAUAAAUCCUUUCUUUAAGGGGGGCUGGUCAAUACAGGUCUAUAUUGUGUUAUCUUGCUAUUGGGCUCUUUUUUAUUUUCUUAAAACGGUCAGAUAUCACUCAUGUUUAAUUCGUGGUUGACUGCGUAUAUCCAAAAUAAUUAUGUUAGUACACUGACGUUAAUUUCUACAUUUUUACUAAAGUUGGCUAAAUAGUUUUUUGUGCUACUGAGAUAUAUAUGUGCUCUAAAUAGUUUUUUGUGCUACUCAGAAGUAAUUUAGUAUAGAUGUUUUGAUAGGAACUGGUUGUUUAACCCUCUCAUAUAGCCAGUUCGGAUUAGUGGUUCAGGUCACUCCUGUGUGUAUAGUUGAUAUCACAUAUGCUAAUGAUUCUGGUUGUAAGUUCAGAGGUAAUUUAUUAUACAUGUUUUGACAGGAAGUCGAAAGAAGUGCUAAUACCUUGUCAACUUUUGGUAAUUUUCCGUGUGAUUAAGCUUGUGCCUAGCUGACUUGUAAGGUUCCGCACAUUUAAGCCUGGUCAGGCUUUCCUCACACAUGUACUCUUAUUUGAUUGCACACUUCUUUUGGUUAUUAAUUUGUUACCAAGGAACCAUGGCACAGUAAUGUGCUUCAAGUUUUCCAUAUGAAUAAGAACUAUACUCUUUUUCUGCGAUUUUAAAGCAUUUCCAGACCUAUCAAGGCCAAGGUGCUAGCCAAUUUUAAUUUCUUUUUUAUGAGGAUGAAUCGACAAGUGUUCACGAAAGGGUGAAGGUGAAUAACAAGGGCACCGCUCUCUGCUGAUGCACACCCAUGGUUUGCUUGCCACGAUGCAACGGCAAGAUGUUCUCGAUAGUCGAACAAAAGAAGUGGAGCAAAUGGGUGAUGUAGGGUAGAACCCUAUGGCCCGAUCUUUCACGAUAGGAGCGGAAUCCCGCGAAGAACACGAAGAACACGAGGAGGAAACACGAGGGGAAAUCACAAAGGGGCACAAAGAGGAACACUCAAACCAACAAGAUAGUCACACAUGUGCUAGAUCCUCGAAUACAUAAGAGAAGAUACACGAUCCACGGACAACUAAGGACGAUACAAGGGUAGCCGGUCUUCUACGUGAGGAGGUCUUGAAUCCACGGGGGGAUCUUCCCUUAGAAAGGGGGCUUGAAUCCAAAGGGAUCUUCUCCGAAGAGGCCGCGGUCUCUCGCACGGAGGAGAUCCGAUAUGGAUGAGCAAUGCUCUAUCUCUCAAAUGAGCUAAACCAAUGCUAACCCUAGUACGGAGCUAAGGGACAAGUAUAUAUAGUCCAAGGGGUAAGUUGGGGGAUACAUGGGGUGAAACCCCUUUCACUGCGCACAGGCAGGGCGGUAGUACCGGUCAUGGGGGCGGUUGUACCGCUGGAUGCUCAGGUACGGGUUCCUGGAGGUGCUUCCGGAUGUGCUCAGCGGUUGUACCGGUGCUUGGGGCGGUUGUACCGGUCAGGUGGCUGUUACGGGGAUAAACCGGUGCUGCACCGGCCUUGCACCGCUCGAUCACAGAAGCUUGGCCGGUUGUUGGGCGGUGGUCGAGCGGUUGCACCGCUUGUGGGCCUUCAGCGGUAGUACUGCUUGGUGUGGGCGGUAGUACCGCUCGGGCUGUAGCAGCUGGCUCUCCUUCCCUUGCUCCCGCGCACACUUGGCCUUGGUCCUUAGGCUCUCCAUGGUCUCCUCGGAUGGACCUGAGUAUGCAUAAGGUCCGCGCUUGAGGUAGCAUCCAUGUCUUACAUGCGGAAAGGGAAGAUUCGGAAAGGAGCGAGUUCACCUUGUGUCCAAUGGUGUAUACUUGAGGUCUCAACAUGUGGGCACUAGGGGCUUGGGGAGAAGUCAUAGUGUACAUGGGGAUGAUCAUAGGAUGCUCCGCAUCAAUGGGUUUAACUUGUAUGCCCUAUUCCUGUUGUUAUAAGCAUUUAGUUUCCAUCCGCAAGACAAGUUUCUGCUUGUGUAACAACAAUACUGUCUGGGUCGUCAAGUUUCUAGCUAUCAUCUGUUCCAGGAUCAUCCUGACCAUUAGGUUCCUCGUGUUCUCCUUGGCGGUUCUGUAUGUUGUCUCAAGACGUAUUGGCCUGUUGACACUGCAAAGGAAGUUGGCUGAUGCAAUCAGAUCAAGCUCAGUAUCAGCUGGAGACAUCUUGGGUGAAGUGCAGGAGGGACCUUCCACAGCAAAUGCUCCUCCCAUCUGAUGAACUGUGAUUUUACUUCCAUCCAUUGUUUAUACAUACAUGAGCUUACAUCCAGAAGUAAGCUUACCUGUCAGUUAUUAUUUCGUAGUACAUGUUGUCUAAAGUCACAUUUGAUGAGUGUUGUUUUUAAGUACAGUACUAAAAGCUAUAUUCAGUUGGAUGAGGUGUACAACUAUA